GACGAACGCUGGCGGCGUGCCUAAUACAUGCAAGUCGAGCGGACGAAUCGAAAGCUUGCUUUUGAUUCGUUAGCGGCGGACGGGUGAGUAACACGUGGGCAACCUGCCCUGUAGACGGGGAUAACACCGAGAAAUCGGUGCUAAUACCGGAUAACACGAAAUGUCGCAUGACGUUUCGUUGAAAGACGGCGCAAGCUGUCGCUACAGGAUGGGCCCGCGGCGCAUUAGCUAGUUGGUGAGGUAACGGCUCACCAAGGCGACGAUGCGUAGCCGACCUGAGAGGGUGAUCGGCCACACUGGGACUGAGACACGGCCCAGACUCCUACGGGAGGCAGCAGUAGGGAAUCUUCCGCAAUGGACGAAAGUCUGACGGAGCAAUGCCGCGUGAGCGAAGAAGGCCUUCGGGUCGUAAAGCUCUGUUGUUAGGGAAGAACAAGUAACGCAGUAACUGGCGUUACCGUGACGGUACCUAACGAGAAAGCCACGGCUAACUACGUG
rnacentral:rRNA from 1 species